CCUACGGGUGGCAGCAGUGGGGAAUAUUGGGCAAUGGGCGCAAGCCUGACCCAGCAACGCCGCGUGAAGGAAGAAGGCUUUCGGGUUGUAAACUUCUUUUGUCAGGGAAGAGUAGAAGACGGUACCUGACGAAUAAGCCACGGCUAACUACGUGCCAGCAGCCGCGGUAAUACGUAGGUGGCAAGCGUUGUCCGGAUUUACUGGGUGUAAAGGGCGUGUAGCCGGGUUGACAAGUCAGAUGUGAAAUCCUGCGGCUUAACCGCAGAACUGCAUUUGAAACUGUUGAUCUAGAGUACUGGAGGGGCAGACGGAAUGCAGGGGGGAGCGGUGAAAGGCGGAGAUAUUGGGAGGAACACCAGGGGCGAAGGCGGUCUGAUGGACAGCAACUGACGGUGAGGCGCGAAGGCGUGGGGAGCAAAAGGGAUUAGAUACCCUGGUAGUC
rnacentral:rRNA from 1 species